rnacentral:rRNA from 1 species
GAUGAACGCUGGCGGCGUGCCUAAUACAUGCAAGUCGAGCGAACGGACGAGAAGCUUGCUUCUCUGAUGUUAGCGGCGGACGGGUGAGUAACACGUGGAUAACCUACCUAUAAGACUGGGAUAACUUCGGGAAACCGGAGCUAAUACCGGAUAAUAUUUUGAACCGCAUGGUUCAAAAGUGAAAGACGGUCUUGCUGUCACUUAUAGAUGGAUCCGCGCUGCAUUAGCUAGUUGGUAAGGUAACGGCUUACCAAGGCAACGAUGCAUAGCCGACCUGAGAGGGUGAUCGGCCACACUGGAACUGAGACACGGUCCAGACUCCUACGGGAGGCAGCAGUAGGGAAUCUUCCGCAAUGGGCGAAAGCCUGACGGAGCAACGCCGCGUGAGUGAUGAAGGUCUUCGGAUCGUAAAACUCUGUAAUUAGGGAAGAACAUAUGUGUAAGUAACUGUGCACAUCUUGACGGUACCUAAUCAGAAAGCCACGGCUAACUACGUG